GAUGAACGCUGGCGGCGUGCCUAAUACAUGCAAGUCGAGCGAGAAGCUACUUUGAAGCGUUUUCGGACAAUUCUGUGUAGUGGAAAGCGGCGGACGGGUGAGUAACGCGUAGGCAACCUGCCCUUAGCAGAGGGAUAGCCAUUGGAAACGAUGAUUAAAACCUCAUAAUGCUGUUGAGACACAUGUUUUAACAGCCAAAGAUUUAUCGGCUAAGGAUGGGCCUGCGUCUGAUUAACUAGUUGGCGGGGUAACGGCCCACCAAGGUAACGAUCAGUAGCCGACCUGAGAGGGUGAUCGGCCACAUUGGAACUGAGACACGGUCCAAACUUC
rnacentral:rRNA from 1 species